UUCUAGUAUUAUUUGACAGAGUAAAAAAGUUGUUUGUUGUAAAAAUGUAUCUUUUGUUACUAAUUAGUGUUGUGUUAUUGUUAAACUUCAUACCCAGAACUUUCUCUCAAGGUUUAGGAGAAACAAGAAGCAUACAAAUUCCAAUUUUCUACUCAUUAGAUGAUGUUUUAUCAUGUUUCAAGACAGAAGAGUACGUAAACUCUUCGCUAUCACAGAAAGUCUUGUAUUCCUUUGAAUAUGGCUGCAAAAACAAUAUUCCUCUGACAAGAACUCGAGAGAACCCGUUUAUUGCGAUUGAAGGAAACCACAAAACCAGUAGGUAGAAAGAUAAUAGCAAGAAGAGUAGCCAAACGAAUAGGAGCCGGGAUUUUACACAAUCCACCCAGAUGUUUGUUCCAUCUCAAAGACAUGUUUCAAUAUGGAACCCGCAUCAGAAAAGCGUUUUUCUACCUAUCUAUGUACGGCUCGGCCUACACAGCCAAUCGAAUCAUCAACAGGUGGCCAGUAGUGAUAAAUGGUUACUGGAUGGACCAGGCCGCUUACGCUAUUUCAAAAGCAAAUUCCAACGCCACCCUCCCACCAUCUGGAGAUCCGGUGUACAAGUUUCCGGAAGACUUACUGAAACCAGAUCUAGUUUUCUACACCUACUUCCCAGACAACCUUCAUUAUCCACAAGCCACUACAAGAAAUCCUAACAGCUGGAAACCUAAAAUGCUUGAGAUUUACAAAAGAAUCCAAGAUCCUAAGGUGAUAAUCAUAAACACAGAAAUUGGUUUUGAUUCAGUUGUGAACCUGAUUGAAAGUGAAAUAUAUAAUAAUUUAAAAGACAAAUAUAUGUUUGAAACUGAGCCUGUCUGAGGAUUGGUUACUAUAAACAUAUUUUUAUAUUUCAACCUUCAUCUUGAAUUGUGUAAGUUAAAAUUGAAGAUAUAACAGGAGUAAAUUGAAUUAAGACUGACAGUAAGA